rnacentral:rRNA from 1 species
AACGAACGCUGGCGGCAUGCCUAACACAUGCAAGUCGAACGAUUGCCUUCGGGUGAUAGUGGCGCACGGGUGCGUAACGCGUGGGAAUCUGCCCUUAGGUUCGGAAUAACAGCUGGAAACGGCUGCUAAUACCGGAUGAUAUCGCGAGAUCAAAGAUUUAUCGCCUGAGGAUGAGCCCGCGUUGGAUUAGGUAGUUGGUAGGGUAAAGGCCUACCAAGCCGACGAUCCAUAGCUGGUCUGAGAGGCUGAUCAGACACACUGGGACUUAGACACGGCCCGGAAUCCUACGGGAGGGAGCAGUGGGGAAUAUUGGACAAUGGGGGCAAGCCUGAUCCAGCAAUGCCGGGUGAGUGAUGAAGGCCCGAGGGUUGUAAAGCUCUUUUACCCGGGAAGAUAAUGACUGUACCGGGAGAAUAAGCCCCGGCUAACUCCGUG